AUGUACAUAAAUUAAUAUGGGUGUAUGUGUAUAUGUGGAGGCUGAGAAUCGUCUUCUUCUUCGAGAGAUAAUAGUAUUUUCUAGUAGUUAAAGAAAUGAUGAAUUUUUGAAGAUAUGGGAGGCUUUUUCUAUGGGCAUGGACUUUGGGAAAAAAGAGUAAUUCUCAAAAGUUCCCAUGAAGAUACAUGUUUUGUGUCUUUUACCUUUCAUGUAAAAAUUCAUCUCUUUAUUCAUGUAACUUUUAGUGAGCACUGUCUUGUAACUUCCUGAAUUUACCGAAUUGGUGAGUUCGUAAUCAUAUCUUGCACAACCUUGCAUUUCUACCUUCUCUUCAGGUGCGAUCGCGUUCUUUCUUUUGGGAAGGGUAUAAAGCUGUUAAGCUAUAGGAGAAGUGAGCUUAAACUAUCUGAUCAUCGACCUGUGACUGCCUCUUAUAUGGUGGAAGUUGAAGUAUUUUCUCCUAAGAAGUUGCAGCGGGCACUCACUUUCACUGAUGCAGAAAUUGAAGAAGAGGACAUUGUAAUGGAUGGAAAUUGGAAGUGAUUUGAUUCAGGGAAGAUCAGGAUAGCAGCCUUGGGAAUGCUAACCUGUGGAAAAUGAGGGAGAUCCUGCAAGCGAGAACAUUCCCUAUGACAUUCAGAGGAGGACGAAGAUAUGAGCGAGCAUCCAUGACUUGUGGAGCUCCUGGGAUCAUUUCCUAGUGAUGCAUUCUUUUGAUUCUUUAAUGCACAGUGAUUGAGCUUGUACAUGAAAUGGUUAGUUUGUCAAUGUCUUUGAUUUACAUUCUUAUCUUCUCUUCCAUUUUUGCAUGUCGUUUAUUGUAAUAUAUUAUCUUUUGAAGGCAUUUUAGUGAUAA